rnacentral:rRNA from 1 species
CCUACGGGAGGCAGCAGUGGGGAAUCUUGCGCAAUGGGCGAAAGCCUGACGCAGCCAUGCCGCGUGUAUGAUGAGGGUCUUAGGAUUGUAAAAUACUUUCACCGGUGAAGAUAAUGACUGUAGCCGGAGAAGAAGCCCCGGCUAACUUCGUGCCAGCAGCCGCGGUAAUACGAAGGGGGCUAGCGUUGCUCGGAAUUACUGGGCGUAAAGGGAGCGUAGGCGGACAUUUAAGUCAGGGGUGAAAUCCCAGAGCUCAACUCUGGAACUGCCUUUGAUACUGGGUGUCUUGAGUGUGAUAGAGGUAUGUGGAACUCCGAGUGUAGAGGUGAAAUUCGUAGAUAUUCGGAAGAACACCAGUGGCGAAGGCGACAUACUGGAUCAUUACUGACGCUGAGGCUCGAAAGCGUGGGGAGCAAACAGGAUUAGAUACCCUGGUAGUCCACGCCGUAAACGAUGAUUGCUAGUUGUCGGGAUGUUUACAUCUCGGUGACGCAGCUAACGCAUUAAGCAAUCCGCCUGGGGAGUACGGUCGCAAGAUUAAAAACUCAAAAUGAAUAGUAGCGUGAGAGAGCGACGACGACGACGAGGGAGGAGGAG